rnacentral:rRNA from 1 species
AUUGAACGCUGGCGGCAGGCCUAACACAUGCAAGUCGAGCGGUAGAGAGGUGCUUGCAUCUCUUGAGAGCGGCGGACGGGUGAGUAAUGCCUAGGAAUCUGCCUAGUGGUGGGGGAUAACGUUCGGAAACGGACGCUAAUACCGCAUACGUCCUACGGGAGAAAGCGGGGGAUCUUCGGACCUCGCGCCAUUAGAUGAGCCUAGGUCGGAUUAGCUAGUUGGUGAGGUAAUGGCUCACCAAGGCGACGAUCCGUAACUGGUCUGAGAGGAUGAUCAGUCACACUGGAACUGAGACACGGUCCAGACUCCUACGGGAGGCAGCAGUGGGGGAAUAUUGGACAAUGGGCGAAGACCUGAUCCAGCCAUGCCGCGUGUGUGAAGAAGGUCUUCGGAUUG